CGAGGUCCCAGGAAUUGAAACUGCUGAGUCACAGGGUCUGCUCCCUGUCAGCCUUGUUAAAAUGCAUCCAUAGUGGUUGACCCUUUUAAUGCUGGGACCAUAUAGCCCAUGAAUCCAGAUAUCUCUGUUCUAUUGCAUCAUCAGUUUCCUCCACUGUAGGGAAGAGCAAGAGUAGGAAUAACAGCCACCGCCUUCCCGCAUUAAACGGUGUCCGUGUCAUUUAUCAUCCGCAGAAGGACACUUCUGAGACUAAGAGAAGGCAUUAACGCUGUUUUCUAAAGUGGGGAUGCGUGACCUUCCCAGACACUGUGGACGCAGAUCUGAAACGUGUGCAUGCAGUCAAGCCAGCGCCUGUACCUGGGGCCGUGCCAGCCUCUAUAAGACUGGUGGAGGAUGGAGAUGCCCUGGUCAAACCCAGGAGGACCCGCCCCCCCCCCAAGAAGAGGGUCAG